rnacentral:lncRNA from 1 species
GACGAAAUUUUUUUGUAUUGUAUCUUUAUCUCAUACUUGUAAUAGCAUUUUCAAAACAUCAUAAAAAAACUAAUACACUACAAAGAGGAGAGAACAAACUACAAAGGAGUUAUUAUAAAUUUCUGAAAGAAAAAACAGAAAGUACAACUAGGAAAAAGAGGUAUGCCGGAGAAGGGAGAAAGAGGUGACGGUAAAGGUGUGGACGGUGGUGAGAGAAUGACAGUGGUGGUUGAAGGGGGAGAGAGAGAGAGUACAAUUAAUUACUAAAUAGUUCAAAAAGAUAAUCAAAACAUGCACUCCUCUUUUUGUUAUUGUUCGGAUGACGUCUUCGACAUUCCACACCAACACAUUCCUUAACACAUUCUGUCCUCUUUAUUGUUUUACGUUUAAUGUCUGCCUUACAUUUCCUGAUACAGCCGUCUAGGUUAGAUACAACGUUAUAAGAUGUAGUAGUCCAAAAUUCUUUAGAAGUGGUUUCAUCAUGAAAUUUAGUAAUGGUAGAACAAAUAAUAAUUGCUCCAACAAUUAACAUUGCAAUUGCAAGUACAACAUUAUUCUUAGCCAUAAGU